rnacentral:rRNA from 1 species
GAUGAACGCUGGCGGCGUGCCUAAUGCAUGCAAGUCGAGCGAACAGACGAGGAGCUUGCUCCUCUGACGUUAGCGGCGGACGGGUGAGUAACACGUGGAUAACCUACCUAUAAGACUGGGAUAACUUCGGGAAACCGGAGCUAAUACCGGAUAAUAUAUUGAACCGCAUGGUUCAAUAGUGAAAGACGGUUUUGCUGUCACUUAUAGAUGGAUCCGCGCCGCAUUAGCUAGUUGGUAAGGUAACGGCUUACCAAGGCAACGAUGCGUAGCCGACCUGAGAGGGUGAUCGGCCACACUGGAACUGAGACACGGUCCAGACUCCUACGGGAGGCAGCAGUAGGGAAUCUUCCGCAAUGGGCGAAAGCCUGACGGAGCAACGCCGCGUGAGUGAUGAAGGUCUUCGGAUCGUAAAACUCUGUUAUUAGGGAAGAACAAAUGUGUAAGUAACUAUGCACGUCUUGACGGUACCUAAUCAGAAAGCUACGGCUAACUACGUG